KYGGCCGMCWSUGKGAYGGAUAUSUKYMSAAUUCGCCCUUAGAGUUUGAUCCUGGCUCAGAACGAACGCUGGCGGCGUGCUUAACACAUGCAAGUCGAACGUGAUCCGGAGCUUGCUCCGGUGAAAGUGGCGCACGGGUGAGUAACGCGUGGAUAAUCUGCCCUGGUAUCUGGGAUAACAUCUCGAAAGGGGUGCUAAUACCGGAUAAGCCUACGGGAUCCUCGGAUUCUGCAGGAAAAGGUGGCCUCUAUUUAUAAGCUACCGUAUCAGGAUGGGUCCGCGUACCAUUAGCUAGUUGGUGGGGUAAUGGCCCACCAAGGCUACGAUGGUUAGCUGGUCUGAGAGGAUGAUCAGCCACACUGGAACUGAGACACGGUCCAGACUCCUACGGGAGGCAGCAGUGGGGAAUUUUGCGCAAUGGGGGAAACCCUGACGCAGCAACGCCGCGUGAGUGAUGAAGGCUUUCGGGUCGUAAAGCUCUGUCAGAGGGGAAGAAAUGAAACGUGCUAAUAUCACGUUUUCUUGACGGUACCCUCAAAGGAAGCACCGGCUAACUCCGUGCCAGCAGCCGCGGUAAUAC
rnacentral:rRNA from 1 species